UACGGAGGGUGCAAGCGUUACUCGGAAUUACUGGGCGUAAAGCGUGCGUAGGUGGCUGAUUAAGUCUGUUGUGAAAGCCCUGGGCUCAACCUGGGAAUUGCAGUGGAUACUGGGCAGCUAGAGUGUGGUAGAGGGUAGUGGAAUUCCCGGUGUAGCAGUGAAAUGCGUAGAGAUCGGGAGGAACAUCCAUGGCGAAGGCAGCUGCCUGGACCAACACUGACACUGAGGCGCGAAAGCGUGGGGAGCAAACAGG
rnacentral:rRNA from 1 species